rnacentral:RNase_P_RNA from 1 species
GUUUUCGGAUAAUCGCAGGAUAGAGUAAUCUAUUUUGAGGAAAGUCCAUGCUCGCACAGGCUGAGAUGCCUGUAGUGAUCGUGCUUAACGAAACAAUAAGUUAAGGUAUCUGGUUUGACUAGAUAACGGCAGAUAAAACAGCUAAAGCGUUACGCCAUGCUGGAGUAGUCUUGAAAGUGCCACAGUGACGAAGUAAUUUUAGAAAUAGAAUUAGUGGAACGGGUAAACCCCUCGAGCGAGCAACCCAAACUUAUGGUAGGGGCAUCUUUCUCAAGAAAAUGAACUUAGAGAAGGAACAGUGUAUUCUGUAGACAGAUGAUUAUCGUUAAUACUUGUUCCUGAGAAGUAUUAAUACAAAACAUGGCUUACAGAA